ACCUGGCUGGCUCAGUUGGCAGAGCGUAUGACUCUUGAUCUCAGGGUUGCAAGUUUGAACCCUGUGUUGGGUG
rnacentral:tRNA from 1 species